rnacentral:rRNA from 1 species
CACCGGCGUCCCGAGUGGGAAUCGCAUAUUAGGCCUAAAGCGUUCGUAGUUGGCUUUCUAAAUUUCUCGUGAAAUCGUUGCGCUUAACGUAACGUCGUGCGGGAAACACUGGAUAGCUAGGGACCGGGAGGAGUGAGGAGUAUUCUGGAGGGAGCGGUAAAAUGUGAUAAUCUUCAGAGGACUACCUGUGGCGAAGGCGCCUCACUAGAACGGGUUCGACAAUCAGGAACGAAGGCUAGGGGAGCAAACCGG